UUCGACAAGAUUUUGCUCUCGCUGGUGCUGGUGGUGGAGGUCGGCUCCCCUGCAUCACUGGAGCAGUAAAAUCCUAUUUACGUUGUCCUCUGCCACACCUGUAAGCCAGUCAGGCUUCUAAUCUCACAUUUAAAUCAAGAAGAAGAUAAAUGAAGAACUGAUUCUGCUAGUGAAAUGCGAGCAGGAGGAGAGGGCACAGUGCUAGUGAGGCAGGAAAUUUAUAAGCAGAAGGAAAACUUCAGCAGACAUUAGAUGGUUUCUUAGGAAUGAGGAUCAAGUGAAGAAGAAAGAGGACAAGAAAGGACAGAAAUAUAAAAAAAGAUAGCCAUGAUGAGAAUCAGGAAAAUGAAAAGGUCAAGGAAGAUUAACAUAAAGAAGAAAAGAUUGAUGAUGGUCAUGAACAGAAAGACGAUCCUAUUAAUCUGAUCCAUCUUGAAUCAAAUGAAUAAUCUCACUGCGGCCUCACCAUUUGGCAGAGAAAUAGUCAAUUCCUGUAUCUGAUACCUGUUGUCGGGGUAGUAAACUUCUGAAUUAUCGAGGCCCACCUUAGUCCAAUGACUGACCUUCCUGAUGAUGUAUCCCAAAAUGGUCGCCUAACUCGCUAUUUACUGGCAGGUAAGCCAUGGAAUUGGGUGUAAGAGUACUACAAUGUUAUAUAUUUUCUGGGAAUUGAAACUUGAACCAUUCAAUUAUGUCAACAAUGCUAUGUUUGUAAUGAUUAACUUUCUAACAUUACAAAUUUCUUUUCUCUGUAAAACAAAUUGCAAUUUAUUCUUAAGACAGUGCAUAAUUAUCAUUCUCAGAGCCUAUUCUUACUUAACCGAUCAAAUCACUUAUCACAAUCAUCAUAUACAGUACUUUUUAAAAUCAGCUGCUAUCACUAAACUAUCUACACAAGAAAGAUUGUUCGAUUUUGUAGGUUUUCAAAACAAUUGCAUUACUCUUAAUUUUUCAUCCCUGUUAUGUUUCAUCAUCACUACAUUUCCCUCUGUCAUGAGGUGGGCAGACACCUAGCUACCCAUAGUUUGGAAAAAGGUUGUAAGAAAUGAAGGUGACUUCAGAUCUCUCAUAUCUGAGUAUUUGCCUCCUCCUCCUCUGGUCAUCCACAUCCCAGAAAAAGCAUACAGAUUCACCACAGUUUAAAUUUUCUUUAUAAAUUAUAUAAAAAAAAGAUUAAAUUCCAAACAAUAAGAAAACUUUAAUAAAAAUACUGUAUUAAUAGGUAUUACACGUGAUUAUUGUACAUUUUCUUUCAAAACACAUUACGGAAAAUAUGACUAUCAUAGCCCUCGUAAAACUAUAUAUUCAAUAACAAAAUAACUAAAAGAAAGCAGAUCCAUUACCAGUAUACAAAAUGUUAAGCAAAUUAAUUUGUUUAUUAAACAUUGAAUUUUUUUAAUUCUGAUGAAUGUGCCUUAAAGAAUCGUUAUUUCAACAU